GGGCCGGUAGCUCAGCGGUAGAGCAUCUCCCUUUUAAGGAGAGGGUCGGAGGUUCGAGACCUCCCCGGCUCAC
rnacentral:tRNA from 1 species